CAGUAGCCGCGGGAAUACAAAGGGGGCUAGCGUUGUUCGGAUUUACUGGGCGUAAAGCGCACGUAGGCGGAUCGAUCAGACAAGGGUGAAAUCCCAGAGCUCAACUCUGGAACUGCCUUUGAUACUGUCGAUCUGGAGUAUGGAAGAGGUGAGUGGAAUUCCGAGUGUAGAGGUGAAAUUCGUUGAGAUCGGAAAGAACACCAACGGCGAAAGCACUCUGCUGGGCCGACACUGACACUGAGAGACGAAAGCUAGGGGAGCAAAUGGGAUUAGAUACCCCUGUAGUCCCUGUCUCUUAUAC
rnacentral:rRNA from 1 species